GUGUCUCAUAACUGCCUAGGACUCCACCUCCACAGCAUCGGUAUUGGGUGUCUCAUACCUGCCUAGGACUCCACCUCCACAGCAUCGGUAUUGGGUGUCUCAUAACUGCCUAGGGCACCACCUCCAUGGAAUGUUGUGCUAACAUGUCUGAAUGUGAACUAUGUAUGUGAGUCCUGAGUCCUGAAUAGGAUUCACUGGAACUGGAGUUACAGACUAUUUGAAUCAACUUCAGCUUUCAUUUUGAUUCUUUGUCCA